rnacentral:rRNA from 1 species
ACUCAAAUGAAUUGACGGGGGCCCGCACAAGCGGUGGAGGAUGUGGUUUAAUUCGACGCAACGCGAAGAACCUUACCAAGGCUUGACAUCCACAGAAUUUUUUAGAAAUAAGAAAGUGCCCGAAAGGGAACUGUGAGACAGGUGGUGCAUGGCUGUCGUCAGCUCGUGUCGUGAGAUGUUGGGUUAAGUCCCGCAACGAGCGCAACCCUCGAUGCUAGUUACCAUCAUUUAGUUGGGGACUCUAGCGUGACUGCCGGUGAUAAGCCGGAGGAAGGUGAGGACGACGUCAAGUCAUCAUGCCCCUUACGCCUUGGGCUACACACGUCCUACAAUGGUAUAGACAAAGGGCUGCAAGCUAGCGAUAGCAAGCGAAUCCCAUAAACUAUAUCUCAGUUCGGAUUGCAGGCUGCAACUCGCCUGCAUGAAGUUGGAAUCGCUAGUAACCGUAGAUCAGCAUGCUACGGUGAAUACGUUCCCGGGCCUUGUACACACCGCCCGU